rnacentral:tRNA from 1 species
GCAUUGGUGGUUCAGUGGUAGAAUUCUCACCUUCCAUGUGGGAGACUUGGGUUCGAUUCCUAGCCAUGCA